rnacentral:rRNA from 1 species
GACGAACGCUGGCGGCGUGCUUAACACAUGCAAGUCGAACGGAAAGGCCCUUCGGGGUACUCGAGUGGCGAACGGGUGAGUAACACGUGGGUGAUCUGCCCUGCACUUUGGGAUAAGCCUGGGAAACUGGGUCUAAUACCGAAUAUGAUCAUGGCCUUCAUGGGUUGUGGUGGAAAGCUUUUGCGGUGUGGGAUGGGCCCGCGGCCUAUCAGCUUGUUGGUGGGGUAAUGGCCUACCAAGGCGACGACGGGUAGCCGGCCUGAGAGGGUGUCCGGCCACACUGGGACUGAGAUACGGCCCAGACUCCUACGGGAGGCAGCAGUGGGGAAUAUUGCACAAUGGGCGCAAGCCUGAUGCAGCGACGCCGCGUGAGGGAUGACGGCCUUCGGGUUGUAAACCUCUUUCAGCAGGGACGAAGCGCAAGUGACGGUACCUGUAGAAGAAGGACCGGCCAACUACGUGCCAGCAGCCGCGGUAAUACGUAGGGUCCGAGCGUUGUCCGGAAUUACUGGGCGUAAAGAGCUCGUAGGUGGUUUGUCGCGUUGUUCGUGAAAACUCACAGCUUAACUGUGGGCGUGCGGGCGAUACGGGCAGACUUGAGUACUGCAGGGGAGACUGAAAUUCCUGGUGUAGCGGUGGAAUGCGCAGAUAUCAGGAGGAACACCGGUGGCGAAGGCGGGUCUCUGGGCAGUAACUGACGCUGAGGAGCGAAAGCGUGGGGAGCGAACAGGAUUAGAUACCCAGGUAGUCCACGCCGUAAACGGUGGGUACUAGGUGUGGGUUUCCUUCCUUGGGAUCCGUGCCGUAGCUAACGCAUUAAGUACCCCGCCUGGGGAGUACGGCCGCAAGGCUAAAACUCAAAGAAAUUGACGGGGGCCCGCACAAGCGGCGGAGCAUGUGGAUUAAUUCGAUGCAACGCGAAGAACCUUACCUGGGUUUGACAUGCACAGGACGUGCCUAGAGAUAGGUAUUCCCUUGUGGCCUGUGUGCAGGUGGUGCAUGGCUGUCGUCAGCUCGUGUCGUGAGAUGUUGGGUUAAGUCCCGCAACGAGCGCAACCCUUAUCUUAUGUUGCCAGCGCGUAAUGGCGGGGACUCGUGAGAGACUGCCGGGGUCAACUCGGAGGAAGGUGGGGAUGACGUCAAGUCAUCAUGCCCCUUAUGUCCAGGGCUUCACACAUGCUACAAUGGCCGGUACAAAGGGCUGCGAUGCCGUGAGGUGGAGCGAAUCCUUUCAAAGCCGGUCUCAAUUCGGAUCGGGGUCUGCAACUCGACCCCGUGAAGUCGGAGUCGCUAGUAAUCGCAGAUCAGCAACGCUGCGGUGAAUACGUUCCCGGGCCU